CACGUAGGGCGCAAGCGUUGUCCGGAAUUAUUGGGCGUAAAGAGCUCGUAGGCGGUCUGUUGCGUCCGCUGUGAAAACUCGGGGCUUAACCCCGAGCCUGCAGUGGAUACGGGCAGACUAGAGGUAGGUAGGGGAGAAUGGAAUUCCCGGUGUAGCGGUGAAAUGCGCAGAUAUCGGGAGGAACACCGGUGGCGAAGGCGGGUCUCUGGACAGUUCCUGACGCUGAGGCACGAAGGUCAGGGGAGCAAACGGG
rnacentral:rRNA from 1 species